rnacentral:tRNA from 1 species
UCCGAGUUGGUCUAGUGGUCAUGAUUUCCGCUUGUCACGCGGGAGACCGGGGUUCGAUUCCCCGACUCGGAG